GGGUCAGUAGGUUGGUCGUGCCACCGGUACGUACUGGUCUCACUGAUUCCUCCUUCCUGAAGAACCGUAAUGCCAUUAAUUUAGUGUUGCGGGGAAACAGGACUGUUACUUUGAAAAAAUUAGAGUGUUUAAAGCAAGCUAACGCUUGAAUACAUUAGCAUGGGAUAAUGAAAUAGGACGAUCGAUCCUAUUUUGUUGGUUUCUAGGAUUGACGUA
rnacentral:rRNA from 1 species